AGCGAACGCUGGCGGCAGGCUUAACACAUGCAAGUCGAGCGGGCACUUUCGGGUGUCAGCGGCGGACGGGUGAGUAACGCGUGGGAACGUGCCCUCUGGUUCGGAAUAACUCAGGGAAACUUGAGCUAAUACCGGAUACGCCCUUUUGGGGAAAGGCUUGCUGCCGGAGGAUCGGCCCGCGUCUGAUUGGCUAGUUGGUGAGGUAACGGCUCACCAAGGCGACGAUCAGUAGCUGGUCUGAGAGGAUGAUCAGCCACACUGGGACUGAGACACGGCCCAGACUCCUACGGGAGGCAGCAGUGGGGAAUAUUGGACAAUGGGCGCAAGCCUGAUCCAGCCAUGCCGCGUGAGUGAUGAAGGCCUUAGGGUUGUAAAGCUCUUUUAUCCGGGACGAUAAUGACGGUACCGGAGGAAUAAGCCCCGGCUAACUUCGUG
rnacentral:rRNA from 1 species